UUUAGCUUUGGGGUUUACAACUUUGUGAGUAUAUAUAUACUCAUCGAUUGUCAUCAAUAAAAGAUAAGAACUUUAUUUCCAAACUACAAUUUGUCAUUACUUCUUCUGUUGCUCAUCUCCAUUUUCCUUUUGCUUUGUCUCAGCCAGUGUCUCUCAUCCACCUUAGCUCGUUGAUUCUGCUCCCGGUGGGCCGUCCUCGGAGUCUCAGCUUGAGAGGAGGUGAUUUUGUGGUCUGGAUCUAGCUAGCUGCCGGAUUCUCAGUGCGGGGUGUGUAGCAGUUGCCAUCGGCGAAGUCGGCUCUUAGGGUUUCGUAGGCGGUUCCUUAAGCCACUCGUAGAGGCGGUGGCAUGUGGAGGAGAAUAUGGUCAUGUCUUGCUGUUCCUGUUUAGCAGGCUUUAUAGUGUAUCUCUCUUGGUGGCUAGCUUUACGGCGGUGGAAGUGAGGUUGUUGACUAUGCCUCAGCAUCGUGGUGAGUCACGUCUU
rnacentral:lncRNA from 1 species